CCCUGUUAUUCUUUUAAAUAAAUAAUAUUUCAAAGAAAAAUCAACAUAAUAAAUUUGACGGUAUUAACAUUUACAAAGGAAUUUGUUUCUAAAUCGAAAAUACACGAUAAACCUUACUUAAUUUACAUAUUUGUAUACCACCGUAAUAGAAAUUAUCUAAAAUUAAUCUCAAAAAAACAAAUCUUAUAAUAUCAGGUCAAGGUGCAAUUUAAUUAAGAUGAAAUGAAUUACAUUAUACAUUCAUAUAAGAACUGAAAUAACUCUUAAAAAUAGAAUUUGUUAGUAAAACUAAAUCAUAAUGUUUUUUUGAAAAAGAACAUUAAUAUGUACAUAUCGCCCG
rnacentral:rRNA from 1 species